GCCGGGCGUGGUGUCUCAUGCCUGUAAUUCCAGCACUUUGGGAGGCCGAGGUGGGUGGAUCACCUGAGGUCAGGAUUUCCAGACCAGCCUGACCAACAUGGUGAAACCCCAUCUCUA
rnacentral:SRP_RNA from 1 species